rnacentral:lncRNA from 1 species
UUAACCUAUGUUCAUGUAUGUCCCUUGACAAUUGCUAUUUUCAAACCAUAUCAGUCAGUUCAUAUUUAUGUGGAGAUCAAUGUGCCAAAACAGACUAAGCUUCAUAUUCGGUAGUAGAUGCCACAUAGUUAUAGGUCCUAUUCUCAUAGCGGGCCUUCAUUGCCACGUCUAUUCCAUUUUCAAACAUUGUUUCCUUGAAACAUGGCAAUGAUCAGAAUAGGACAUAUAACUAAUUGACGUCUUCUGAAUGUGGAGCAUAGUCUGUUUUG